rnacentral:lncRNA from 1 species
CGCAGCCGCGGAUCGCGCGCCGGCCUCCGAGGUGACCGUGGAGCCCCCGCCCGGAGGCGCGGCCUCCUGAUGUGCCUGGCCCAGCUCGGUCCGCCCCGUGCCCGUGGUUGCGUCUGUCGGACGGAGCUCUGCUUGGGCCCGGGCCGCGGCUCUUCCGAAGGGGGCUGCGUGAUGGGCAAUUUUGAGUUUUGUCCCUGGACUCUGGUUUGCUGUCUCAAUUCAGCCUUCCCAGGCCCUGGAAAACUCUCUUCUAGUGUCUGCUUCUUUGAUACCAUCCUUAGCUUCCGCCGUGCAUAAUGUUCUGCCGUGCAUCUACACCAGUUUCUUUAUCCACUCAUCAGCGAUGGGCAUCUGGGUGAUUCCAUGUGUUGGCUGUGGUGAGGAGUGCAGAUAUUGAUGCUUUACCGUUGCUACUUGCGACAGCCAGCGGUUGACUGGCUUCACUGUGUGAGGAGCAGGUAAGUUGCGCCUCCCUAAUGGGUUCACAGCUGCUCAGUAGAGUCCAGCCUUGUCUUCAUCUUCUGCUUGUGCUCUUCCGGAUGAACGUGAGUGACUUAAAAUGAAGUAGGGGUUGAAUGCGGUAGAGUUGGUGCCUUGAAAAAGUUUUGGCUAAUGAUUCUAGGACACCUCUCUGCCCAACGGAAAAGUAUAUAAAG